AACGAACGCUGGCGGCAGGCUUAACACAUGCAAGUCGAACGCCCCGCAAGGGGAGUGGCAGACGGGUGAGUAACGCGUGGGAAUCUACCCAUCCCUACGGAACAACUCCGGGAAACUGGAGCUAAUACCGUAUACGCCCUUAGGGGGAAAGAUUUAUCGGGGAUGGAUGAGCCCGCGUUGGAUUAGCUAGUUGGUGGGGUAAAGGCCUACCAAGGCGACGAUCCAUAGCUGGUCUGAGAGGAUGAUCAGCCACAUUGGGACUGAGACACGGCCCAAACUCCUACGGGAGGCAGCAGUGGGGAAUAUUGGACAAUGGGCGCAAGCCUGAUCCAGCCAUGCCGCGUGAGUGAUGAAGGCCUCAGGGUUGUAAAGCUCAUUCACCGAUGAAGAUAAUGACGGUAGUCGGAGAAGAAGCCCCGGCUAACUUCGUGCCAGCCGCCGCGGUAAAAC
rnacentral:rRNA from 1 species